GAAACAGAUGCUAAUACCGGAUAACAACACUAGACGCAUGUCUAGAGUUUAAAAGAUGGUUCUGCUAUCACUCUUGGAUGGACCUGCGGUGCAUUAGCUAGUUGGUAAGGUAACGGCUUACCAAGGCAAUGAUGCAUAGCCGAGUUGAGAGACUGAUCGGCCACAUUGGGACUGAGACACGGCCCAAACUCCUACGGGAGGCAGCAGUAGGGAAUCUUCCACAAUGGACGCAAGUCUGAUGGAGCAACGCCGCGUGAGUGGGGUUUCGGCUCGUAAAGCUCUGUUGGUAGUGAAGAAAGAUAGAGGUAGUAACUGGCCUUUAUUUGACGGUAAUUACUUAGAAAGUCACGGCUAACUACGUGCCAGCAGCCGCGGUAAUACGUAGGUGGCAAGCGUUGUCCGGAUUUAUUGGGCGUAAAGCGAGUGCAGGCGGUUCAAUAAGUCUGAUGUGAAAGCCUUCGGCUCAACCGGAGAAUUGCAUCAGAAACUGUUGAACUUGAGUGCAGAAGAGGAGAGUGGAACUCCAUGUGUAGCGGUGGAAUGCGUAGAUAUAUGGAAGAACACCAGUGGCGAAGCGGCUCUCUGGUCUGCAACUGACGCUGAGGCUCGAAAGCAUGGGUAGCGAACAGGAUUAGAUAUGGUAGUCCAUGCCGUAAACGAUGAGUGCUAAGUGUUGGGAGG
rnacentral:rRNA from 1 species